CCUGAGAAACCCAAAAGAUCGAUCGGGGAGAUUCAUCGUAAGCGAAUCUGGUACGUGCGCGGUUCGCGAUGCCGCGGGGUAUCUCGUUACGCNGUGGCACGAGUCCGCGCAUUGUUUUAUUGCCAGGUGUCGUCGGCGUGCACUUCUCCCCUAGUAGGACGUCGCGACCCGUUGGGUGUCGGUCUACGGCCCGUUUGGUAGCCUGUCGUGUGUCGCGCCUUGUGCCGACAUGCGGCAGACCUCCGGUCGCCCGACCGGCUGCCCGGCGGUACUCGCACGGUAUCGAGCCGCAAUUAUUUGAACUGCGUUCGGCCCGCCGCAAGCGAGGUCAGUGUUUCCCGGAUGUACGGACCUGGCGCCGUCACCGGGCCUGGCCAGCUGUUGGUCGGCGGUGUCCUGGGACUGGCUCACAAUUUGAAUUAUGAUACCGGUCGGCGACGCUACUGCUUUGGGUACUUUCAGGACCCGUCUUGAAACACGGACCAAGGAGUCUAACAUGUGCGCGAGUCAUUGGGAGCUCUGAAGCCUAAAGGCGCAAUGAAAGUGAAGGUCGGCCUUGCGCCGACCGAGGGAGGAUGGGCCGCGUCACGAUGCGGUCCCGCACUCCCGGGGCGUCUCGUUCUCAUUGCGAGAAGAGGCGCACCCAGAGCGUACACGUUGGGACCC
rnacentral:rRNA from 1 species